UGGUAUGUCCGUUCAUGGUGCAAAAGGGU
rnacentral:piRNA from 1 species